rnacentral:rRNA from 1 species
UACGUAGGGCGCAAGCGUUGUCCGGAAUUAUUGGGCGUAAAGGGCUCGUAGGCGGCCAACUAAGUCAGACGUGAAAUCCCUCAGCUUAACUGGGGAACUGCGUCUGAUACUGGAUGGCUUGGAUUCGGGAGAGGAAUGCGGAAUUCCAGGUGUAGCGGUGAAAAUGCGUAGAUAUCUGGAGGAACACCGGUGGCGAAGGCGGCAUUCUGGACCGACAUUGACGCUGAGGAGCGAAAGCCAGGGGAGCAAACGGG